UGUGGCUCCACUUUAGCUACUGCCAGUGACCUCAAUCCAGGUUCCGUGCCUGGAUCAGCAGCUCUCUCUCUAUGAAGUCUGGAUUUGCUUUGUCAGCUGUCCUUUGCUGGGGUCACUUGUGUCUGGAUAUGCAAAUGAGAAUGAAGGAAAAGAGGACAGUAAAGACAAGAUGAAGGAAUGGGAAGAGAAGGAAUGUAGAU